rnacentral:rRNA from 1 species
AUGCAACUCGGGAACGGCACGGAGGCCCUAUUCUGGGAAGAUCGAUGGAUUGGCGGGCGUUCUGUUUGCGAGAUCGCGCCGCUCCUCUACGCCUGCAUUUCCAAGCGCCGCCGCAAGCUCAGGACCGUUGCCGAUGGACUCCAGGCCAAC